GCGCGGACCGUGUGCUCCCAGACCGCGUCCGGUGACAGCAGUGCCGUUUCGCCCAGGUGGUCGCCGUCCGCGAGGACGCCGAGGACCGUUUCGUCGCCGUACUUGCCGGUGCCGAUACGGUUCAGCUUGCCGUGCGCGACCAGGACGACCCGGUCGGCCGGCCGUCCCUGCUCCACCAGCACGUCACCGGGCGCGUGCUCCUCCUGCACGAACUGACCGGCCAGCGCCUCCAGCGCCGCCGGAUCGUCGAAGUCGCGCAGCGGCGGCAGCUCCCGCAGCUCCGCGGGGAUGACCCGGACGUCGGAACCGGUGCUGGUGAACUCGACCCGGCCGUCUCCCAGGGUGUGCGUCAGGCGCCGGUUGACGCGGUACGUGCCGCCGGAGACCUGCGUCCACGGCAGCACGCGCAGCAGCCAGCGGGAGGAGAUCCCCUGCAUCUGCGGCACGGUCUUGGUCGUGGUGGCCAGAUUGCGUGCCGCGGCUGUCGCCAGGCUGGUGCGCGCCUG
rnacentral:antisense_RNA from 1 species